CCCCGGAGCAAGGCUGCUUCUCUCCACCCACUCCUCACCAAGAACUCCUGAACUUGAGAGUGGACGACUUCAAAGCUAGCUCUCACAGACUCACCUGGAAAAGAGUUCAGCUGCGCGUUCAUUGAACCGAGAGGCCAGAUCACCUAUGUGAGGCGGUGGGAACCAUAUGGAGAUUUAUAUUAGAACUUCAGCAAAGUGCACAGCUGCAGCCGGCAGAAGCCAGCUCUCGGGCUGACAGGCAAAUGAACCAGAUCGUGGACGGGGCCUCUGGGUGGCAGCUCCGGCCUUUUGGUUGUUGGACAACUAUAGUCAGAACUGAAAUGGAACAGGGGCAGGAGAAAUAACACACUUUUACUCCACGCAACUGUUGCUUUCACAUGAUCUUCAGGAAUGUAACUGGGAUAAUUGUCCAAAUUGAAUCCCAUACCCUGUCAUGCAUACCAGAAUAGGAGUCCUGUCUUAACUGAGCAAUAUACACUAUGGAGAGAUCCUUCAAAACCCGUCGGGACGAAUAACAGAUGAAUUCAUAAAACUGUUCAUCUCUGUUAUCCUGAAUGGUCACUCAGACAACAUUUUACUCAACUAUAAAGGGGAACACUUAAAGUGCAUAUGAGAAGAGAAGAGAAUGACCACAGGAGAAAAUCAUCUCAGAACCAAUCACUGCCAGGGACCCUGUAGCUGCCUACUUGCCUGGAACCCAGGGCAACAACAGGAUAACUGGGAGGAGUCCCAAUAAGGCUCCAUUAUUGAUGGUGUCACAGAAGCCCCUGAUCUGAAUAUUUGCCAAUGAAGAUAUGUGGACAGAAAUAUACUGUGGGACACACUGUGACAUGCUACUGCUUUCCACGGUUGCAGCCUAACUACCAACUCCAAGAGACUUCUUCUGAAGGAUUUGUAUAAUGUCUGCUACAAUGUUAUCCCCCUCAGGUUCUUCCAUAGAGCUCUAAUAUCUUAUCACAUGUGACACCUAGCAAUAAGCUCUAACCUUAGUUUUCUUAAAUAGUGAAACAUA
rnacentral:lncRNA from 1 species